rnacentral:rRNA from 1 species
GACGAACGCUGGCGGCGUGCUUAACACAUGCAAGUCGAACGGAAAGGCCCUGCUUUUGUGGGGUGCUCGAGUGGCGAAAGGGUGAGUAACACGUGAGUAACCUGCCCUUGACUUUGGGAUAACUUCAGGAAACUGGGGCUAAUACCGGAUAGGAGCUCCUGCUGCAUGGUGGGGGUUGGAAAGUUUCGGCGGUUGGGGAUGGACUCGCGGCUUAUCAGCUUGUUGGUGGGGUAGUGGCUUACCAAGGCUUUGACGGGUAGCCGGCCUGAGAGGGUGACCGGCCACGUUGGGACUGCGAUACGGCACAGACUCCUACGGGAGGCAGCAGUGGGGAAUAUUGCACAAUGGGCGGAAGCCUGAUGCAGCAACGCCGCGUGCGGGAUGACGGCCUUCGGGUUGUAAACCGCUUUCGCCUGUGACGAAGCGUGAGUGACGGUAAUGGGUAAAGAAGCACCGGCUAACUACGUG